rnacentral:piRNA from 1 species
CGGAACCAAGAUGGAUUGAUUAGA